rnacentral:rRNA from 1 species
AUUGAACGCUGGCGGCAGGCCUAACACAUGCAAGUCGAGCGGCAGCGGGAAAGUAGCUUGCUACUUUUGCCGGCGAGCGGCGGACGGGUGAGUAAUGCCUGGGAAAUUGCCCAGUCGAGGGGGAUAACAGUUGGAAACGACUGCUAAUACCGCAUACGCCCUACGGGGAAAGCAGGGGACCUUCGGGCCUUGCGCGAUUGGAUAUGCCCAGGUGGGAUUAGCUUGUUGGUGAGGUAAUGGCUCACCAAGGCGACGAUCCCUAGCUGGUCUGAGAGGAUGAUCAGCCACACUGGAACUGAGACACGGUCCAGACUCCUACGGGAGGCAGCAGUGGGGAAUAUUGCACAAUGGGGGAAACCCUGAUGCAGCCAUGCCGCGUGUGUGAAGAAGGCCUCGGUGUAAGCACUUCUAGCGAGGAGGAAAGGACGUGAGUACCUAAUAACGUCAUCAGCUGUGACGUUACUCG